rnacentral:rRNA from 1 species
GACGAACGCUGGCGGCGUGCUUAACACAUGCAAGUCGAACGGUAAGGCCCCAGCUUGCUGGGGUACACGAGUGGCGAACGGGUGAGUAACACGUGGGUGACCUGCCCUGCACUUCGGGAUAAGCCUGGGAAACUGGGUCUAAUACCGGAUAGGACCGCACCGUGAGGGUGUGGUGGAAAGUUUUUUCGGUGUGGGAUGGGCCCGCGGCCUAUCAGCUUGUUGGUGGGGUAAUGGCCUACCAAGGCGGCGACGGGUAGCCGGCCUGAGAGGGUGGACGGCCACAUUGGGACUGAGACACGGCCCAGACUCCUACGGGAGGCAGCAGUGGGGAAUAUUGCACAAUGGGCGGAAGCCUGAUGCAGCGACGCCGCGUGGGGGAUGACGGCCUUCGGGUUGUAAACUCCUUUCACCAUCGACGAAGGGUUUCUGACGGUAGAUGGAGAAGAAGCACCGGCUAACUACGUGCCAGCAGCCGCGGUAAUACGUAGGGUGCGAGCGUUGUCCGGAAUUACUGGGCGUAAAGAGCUCGUAGGUGGUUUGUCGCGUCGUCUGUGAAAUUCCGGGGCUUAACUCCGGGCGUGCAGGCGAUACGGGCAUAACUUGAGUACUGUAGGGGAGACUGGAAUUCCUGGUGUAGCGGUGAAAUGCGCAGAUAUCAGGAGGAACACCGGUGGCGAAGGCGGGUCUCUGGGCAGUAACUGACGCUGAGGAGCGAAAGCAUGGGGAGCGAACAGGAUUAGAUACCCUGGUAGUCCAUGCCGUAAACGGUGGGCGCUAGGUGUGGGUUUCCUUCCACGGGAUCCGUGCCGUAGCUAACGCAUUAAGCGCCCCGCCUGGGGAGUACGGCCGCAAGGCUAAAACUCAAAGGAAUUGACGGGGGCCCGCACAAGCGGCGGAGCAUGUGGAUUAAUUCGAUGCAACGCGAAGAACCUUACCUGGGCUUGACAUAUACAGGAUCGCGCCAGAGAUGGUGUUUCCCUUGUGGCUUGUAUACAGGUGGUGCAUGGUUGUCGUCAGCUCGUGUCGUGGGAUGUUGGGUUAAGUCCCGCAACGAGCGCAACCCUUGUCUUAUGUUGCCAGCACGUUGUGGUGGGGACUCGUAAGAAACUGCCGGGGUUAACUCGGAGGAAGGUGGGGAUGACGUCAAAUCAUCAUGCCCCUUAUGUCCAGGGCUUCACACAUGCUACAAUGGUCGGUACAGUGGGUUGCCAGUCCGUGAGGGCGAGCUAAUCCCGCAAAGCCGGUCUCAGUUCGGAUCGGGGUCUGCAACUCGACCCCGUGAAGUCGGAGUCGCUAGUAAUCGCAGAUCAGCAACGCUGCGGUGAAUACGUUCCCGGGCCU